rnacentral:rRNA from 1 species
AUUGAACGCUGGCGGCAGGCCUAACACAUGCAAGUCGAGCGAGCGGCGGACGGGUGAGUAAUGUCUGGGAAACUGCGUGAUGGAGGGGGAUAACUACUGGAAACGGUAGCUAAUACCGCAUACCCUCAGAUGUGCCCAGAUGGGAUUAGCUAGUAGGUGGGGUAACGUCUCACCUAGGCGACGAUCCCUAGCGGGUCUGAGAGGAUGAACAGCCAAACUGGAACUGGGACACGGUCCAGACUCGUACGGGAGGAGGCAGUGGGGAAUAUUGCACAAUGGGCGAAAGCCUGAGGCGGCCAUGCCGCGUGUGUGAAGAAGGCCUUCGGGUUGUAAAGCACUUUCAGCGGGGAGGCGUUACCCGCAGAAGAAGCACCGGCUAACUCCGUGCCAGCAGCCGCGGUAAUUC